UACGAAGGGGGCUAGCGUUGUUCGGAAUUACUGGGCGUAAAGCGCACGUAGGCGGAUAUUUAAGUCAGGGGUGAAAUCCCAGAGCUCAACUCUGGAACUGCCUUUGAUACUGGGUAUCUUGAGUAUGGAAGAGGUAAGUGGAAUUGCGAGUGUAGAGGGUGAAAUUCGUGGAUAUUCGCAGAACACCAGUGGCGAAGGCGGCUCACUGGCCCGGUACUGACGCUGAGGUGCGAAAGCGU
rnacentral:rRNA from 1 species